rnacentral:rRNA from 1 species
AUUGAACGCUAGCGGGAUGCUUUACACAUGCAAGUCGAACGGCAGCGCGGACUUCGGUCUGGCGGCGAGUGGCGAACGGGUGAGUAAUGUAUCGGAACGUGCCCAGUAGCGGGGGAUAACUAUGCGAAAGCGUAGCUAAUACCGCAUACGCCCUACGGGGGAAAGCAGGGGAUCGUAAGACCUUGCACUAUUGGAGCGGCCGAUAUCGGAUUAGCUAGUUGGUGAGGUAACGGCUCACCAAGGCGACGAUCCGUAGCUGGUUUGAGAGGACGACCAGCCACACUGGGACUGAGACACGGCCCAGACUCCUACGGGAGGCAGCAGUGGGGAAUUUUGGACAAUGGGGGCAACCCUGAUCCAGCCAUCCCGCGUGUGCGAUGAAGGCCUUCGGGUUGUAAAGCACUUUUGGCAGGAAAGAAACGUCGCGGGCUAAUACCCCGUGGAACUGACGGUACCUGCAGAAUAAGCACCGGCUAACUACGUG